rnacentral:rRNA from 1 species
GAUAAACGCUGGCGGCGUGCAUUAUGCAUGCAAGUCGAACGGUUCUGAUUUAUCAGGACAGUGGCGAACGGGUGAGUAACACGUAAGUAACCUGUCCCUAAGUGGAGAAUAGCUCCGGGAAACCGGGGGUAAUACUGCAUGUGGUGGUGGGGGUAAAGCUCCAUCACUAAAGCCUUCGGGCGCUUGGGGAGGGCUUGCGGCCGAUUAGCUAGUUGGUGAGGUAACGGCUCACCAAGGUUACGAUCGGUAGCUGGUCUGAGAGGAUGGUCAGCCACACUGGGACUUAGACACGGCCCAGACUCCUACGGGAGGCUG